GCCGAGAUAGCUCAACGGUAGAGCAACGGUAUCGUAAACCGUAGGUUGGAGGUUCAAAUCCUCUUCUCGGCUCCA
rnacentral:tRNA from 2 species